CGAACGGGUGAGUAACACGUGAGCAACCUACCUUACACAGGGGGAUAGCCGUUGGAAACGACGAUUAAUACCGCAUGAGACCACAUAAUCGCAUGAUAUAGGGGUCAAAGAUUUAUCGGUGUAAGAAGGGCUCGCGUCUGAUUAGCUAGUUGGAAGGGUAAAGGCCUACCAAGGCGACGAUCAGUAGCCGGUCUGAGAGGAUGAACGGCCACAUUGGAACUGAGACACGGUCCAA
rnacentral:rRNA from 1 species